AUUGAACGCUGGCGGCAGGCCUAACACAUGCAAGUCGAACGAGUGGCGGACGGGUGAGUAAUGUCUGGGAAAAUGCCUGAUGGAGGGGGAUCACUACUGGAAACGGUAGCUAAUACCGCAUACCAUCGGAUGUGCCCAGAUGGGAUUAGUUAGUAGUUGGGGUAAAGGAUCACCUAGGCGACGAUCCCUAGCUGGUCUGAGAGGAUGACAGUCAACACUGGAACUGAGACACUGUCAAGACUCCUACGGAAGGCAGCAGUGGGGAAUAUUGCACCAUGGGCGAAAGCCUGAUGCAUCCAUGCCGCGUGUAUGAAGAAGGCCUUCGGGUUGUAAAGUACUUUCAGCGGGUAGGCGUUACCCGCAGAAGAAGCACCGGCUAACUCCGUGCCAGCCGCCGCGGUAAUUC
rnacentral:rRNA from 1 species